ACCUUAGUAGUUUAAAAAGAACACUAAUUUGUGGCAUUAGAAGAAGCGAACGCAACGCUCUGAGGUC
rnacentral:tRNA from 1 species